rnacentral:rRNA from 1 species
AAUCCAUAGGUUAAUGAGGCGAACCGGGGGAACUGAAACAUCUAAGUACCCCGAGGAAAAGAAAUCAACCGAGAUUCCCCCAGUAGCGGCGAGCGAACGGGGAGGAGCCCAGAGCCUGAAUCAGCAUGUGUGUUAGUGGAAGCGUCUGGAAAGGCGCGCGAUACAGGGUGACAGCCCCGUACACAAAAGCGCAUGUGCUGUGAGCUCGAUGAGUAGGGCGGGACACGUGGUAUCCUGUCUGAAUAUGGGGGGACCAUCCUCCAAGGCUAAAUACUCCUGACUGACCGAUAGUGAACCAGUACCGUGAGGGAAAGGCGAAAAGAACCCCGGCGAGGGGAGUGAAAAAGAACCUGAAACCGUGUACGUACAAGCAGUGGGAGCACCCUUUGGGUGUGACUGCGUACCUUUUGUAUAAUGGGUCAGCGACUUAUAUUCUGUAGCAAGGUUAACCGAAUAGGGGAGCCGGA